UACGUAGGGUGCGAGCGUUGUCCGGAAUUAUUGGGCGUAAAGAGCUCGUAGGUGGUUUGUCGCGUUGUUCGUGAAACUCACAACUCAAUUGUGGGCGUGCGGCGAUACGGGCAGACUGGAGUACUGCAGGGAGACUGGAAUUCCUGGUGUAGCGGUGGAAAUGCGCGAUAUCAGGAGAACACCGGUGGCGAAGGCGGGUCUCCUGGGCAGUAACUCGCUGAGGAGCGAAAGCGUGGGGAGCGAACAGG
rnacentral:rRNA from 1 species